GAGUUUGAUCUUGGCUCAGGACGAACGCUGGCGGCGUGCCUAACACAUGCAAGUCGAACGAAGCUUGACGAAAGAUUUCUUCGGAAUGAAUUCAGAUAUGACUGAGUGGCGGACGGGUGAGUAACGCGUGAGCAACCUGCCCUUCAGAGGGGGAUAGCGUCUGGAAACGGACGGUAAUACCGCAUAACGUACAGGGACCGCAUGAUCUUUGUACCAAAACUGAGGUGCUGAAGGAUGGGCUCGCGUUGGAUUAGAUAGUUGGUGGGUAACGGCCUACCAAGUCGACGAUCCAUAGCCGGACUGAGAGGUUGAACGGCCACAUUGGGACUGAGACACGGCCCAGACU
rnacentral:rRNA from 1 species